UACGAGGGGUGCAAACGUUAUUCGGAAUUACUGGGCGUAAAGGGUGUGUAGGCGGUAUGAUAAGUCUGUUGUUAAAUUUCUCGGCCCAACCGAGAACAUGCAGUGGAUACUAUCGUGCUAGAGGGUGGAAGAGAGAGGUGGAAUUCUCGGAGUAGCGGUAAAAUGCGUAGAUCUCGAGAGGAACACCGAUGGCGAAGGCAGCCUCUUGGUCCAUUCCUGACGCUGAGACACGAAAGCGUGGGGAGCAAACAGG
rnacentral:rRNA from 1 species